rnacentral:rRNA from 1 species
GCUGGCGACCGGCGCACGGGUGAGUAACACGUAUCCAACCUGCCCUUUACUCGGGGAUAGCCUUUCGAAAGAAAGAUUAAUACCCGAUAGCAUAAUGAUUCCGCAUGGUUUCAUUAUUAAAGGAUUCCGGUAAAGGAUGGGGAUGCGUUCCAUUAGGUUGUUGGUGAGGUAACGGCCCACCAAGCCUUCGAUGGACAGGGGUUCUGAGAGGAAGGUCCCCCACAUUGGAACUGAGACACGGUCCAAACUCCUACGGGAGGCAGCAGUGAGGAAUAUUGGUCAAUGGGCGUUAGCCUGAACCAGCCAAGUAGCGUGAAGGAUGAAGGCUCUAUGGGUCGUAAACUUCUUUUAUAUAAGAAUAAAGUGCAGUAUGUAUACUGUUUUGUAUGUAUUAUAUGGAUAAGGAUCGGCUAACUCCGUGCCAGCAGCCGCGGUAAUACGGAGGAUCCGAGCGUUAUCCGGAUUUAUUGGGUUUAAAGGGAGCGUAGGUGGACUGGUAAGUCAGUUGUGAAAGUUUGCGGCUCAACCGUAAAAUUGCAGUUGAUACUGUCAGUCUUGAGUACAGUAGAGGUGGGCGGAAUUCGUGGUGUAGCGGUGAAAUGCUUAGAUAUCACGA